rnacentral:rRNA from 1 species
AUUGAACGCUGGCGGCAGGCCUAACACAUGCAAGUCGAGCGAGCGGCGGACGGGUGAGUAAUGUCUAGCAAACUGCCUGAUGGAGGGGGAUAACUACUGGAAACGGUAGCUAAUACCGCAUACCAUCAGAUGUGCCCCGGUGGGAUUAGCUAGUGGGUGGGAUACCGGCUAACCUAGGCGACGAUCCCUAGCUGGUCUGAGAGGAUGACCAGCCACACUGGAAUUGGGACACGGUCCAGCAUCCUACGGGAGGCAGCAGUGGGGAAUAUUGCAAAAUGGGCGCAAGCCUGAUGCAGCCAUGCGGGGUGUGUGAAGAAGGCUUUCGGGUUGUAAAGCACUUUCAGCGGGGAGGCGUUACCCGCAGAAGAAGCACCGGCUAACUCCGUGCCAGCAGCCGCGGUAAUAC